UUUUUCAACACGACAACCAGUCAACCACCAAAGAACAAAAUGUGGAAGCUCGGUCUCUGUCGUGCUACAAUCACGUCCAACGUCGCCGCCCGUAUGGCCGUGGCGCAGAACCGUACCCUCCCUUCGGUCCUCUGCGAACCGGCGAGACGGUUCUCGACGAAAGCGGAGAACCUAACUCAAGACUCCGCCGUCUGAUCAGCCUCGGGAGCCUUCGCCUUCCGAUCAGAUGCACGACGCCUCACACCGAUCGAUCCAUUUCUUGAACACCAACAUCAGGUUUGGCGUAUGGGAAGCUGCUCGGAAUCUCGAGGAAUACGCUGAAGACCGAUGUCGUGAAUAUGCUGGAAGGCUGUAAUUUGAGACUGGAGGAUGUUAAACUUGAUUACAGUCGAGCCUUCACGCCGAUGGGAAUGGUAGUGCAGUUCCAGUCAUGGAAAGCUUUUGUAAUGCAGCUAAGGUGAUUUCCAGGAUGGGCCCCUGUAUAAAUUGGAGAGGGCUAACCGAUUGCAGUGGGACAAUCUUCCUUCCUAUGAUGGAAAAAGUGUAAGUCAAGGUUUUCUAUUGUAUGCUAAUUAUUUUUUUAAUGAAAUGUUUGAUCAAGUUGGUCA